rnacentral:misc_RNA from 1 species
GAAAUGCGAUAAGUAAUGUGAAUUGCAGAAUUCAGUGAAUCAUCGAAUCUUUGAACGCACAUUGCGCCCGCCAGCACUCUGGCGGGCAUGCCUGUUCGAGCGUCAUUUCAACCCUCAGAACCCCUUGCGGGAUCUGGCGUUGGGGAUUGGCAUCCAGCCAGCCCCGAAAUGUAGUGGCGGUCCCUCCGCGACCUCCCCUGUGCAGUAGCGAUACCUCGCAGCGGGACAGCGGUCUGACCACGCCGUAAAACCCCCAACUUCUCAAGGUUGACCUCGAAUCAGGUAGGAAUACCCGCUGAACUUAAGC